rnacentral:tRNA from 1 species
GGCGUGGUUGACUAACGGUAGGUCAGCUGCUUGGAAAGCAGCCAGCCGAUGAUGAAUCGGUUUAAGGGUUCGAUUCCCUUCCUCGCCGCCG